AGUGAACGCUGGCGGUAGGCCUAACACAUGCAAGUCGAACGGCAGCACAGUAAGAGCUUGCUCUUACGGGUGGCGAGUGGCGGACGGGUGAGGAAUACAUCGGAAUCUACUUUUUCGUGGGGGAUAACGUAGGGAAACUUAUGCUAAUACCGCAUACGACCUACGGGUGAAGGCAGGGGAUCUUCGGACCUUGCGCGAUUGAAUGAGCCGAUGUCGGAUUAGCUAGUUGGCGGGGUAAAGGCCCACCAAGGCGACGAUCCGUAGCUGGUCUGAGAGGAUGAUCAGCCACACUGGAACUGAGACACGGUCCAGACUCCUACGGGAGGCAGCAGUGGGGAAUAUUGGACAAUGGGCGCAAGCCUGAUCCAGCCAUACCGCGUGGGUGAAGAAGGCCUUCGGGUUGUAAAGCCCUUUUGUUGGGAAAGAAAAGCAGCAGGUUAAUACCCCGCUGUUCUGACGGUACCCAAAGAAUAAGCACCGGCUAACUUCGUG
rnacentral:rRNA from 1 species